AGAAGCUGUAGCCCAAGGAAUCACAUGACUUGUCAAAGUCUCUACCUCGUCAGAGCAGAGCUGCAAGUAAAUCCCCCUCAACCCCAGAUGGGAAGCUUCAGGAAUGGAGGCUCUAACCAUGUCUGCUGUAUACUCGGAGUGCCCAGCAUAUGGGGAUACUCAAUAAAUACAGAUUCAGUGAAUGAAUGAAUGCAUGUUAGAAAUAAGAAGGUGUGUUCAACUCAAUGUAACAGGUAAGUAGGAAUUUCUAGACAUCUACCAGGAAAGGAAAAAGACAAAAACAAAAAAAAAAACAACUAAGAAGGUAAACAAUAUACUGACAAAAAGAAAAAUCAAUGUAAUAACUUUGCUAAAGUAUAGCUUUGCCUAAAACACUCCUGCUUCCUUAGGUUAGGUUCCUAAACAUUUAUAAAAUGUAGCUUAGGGAUAGCCAAUAUAUUAAUGAGCCCUUUGUGAGAAAAUAAUGAGGUUUAAGACAUAGUUCAUGGUCUUUACAUUGUUGUGAAAGCAGAGCUUACUGAUAACGAAGUUAGUAAACAGUGAAGUG